rnacentral:rRNA from 1 species
GACGGGACCCGCACAAGCGGUGGAUGAUGUGGAUUAAUUCGAUGCAACGCGAAAAACCUUACCUACCCUUGACAUGUCUGGAACCUUGCUGAGAGGCGAGGGUGCCUUCGGAGCCAGAACACAGGUGCUGCAUGGCUGUCGUCAGCUCGUGUCGUGAGAUGUUGGGUUAAGUCCCGCAACGAGCGCAACCCUUGUCAUUAGUUGCCAUCAUUUAGUUGGGCACUCUAAUGAGACUGCCGGUGACAAACCGGAGGAAGGUGGGGAUGACGUCAAGUCCUCAUGGCCCUUAUGGGUAGGGCUUCACACGUCAUACAAUGGUCGGUACAGAGGGUUGCCAAGCCGCGAGGCGGAGCCAAUCCCACAAAGCCGAUCGUAGUCCGGAUUGUUCUCUGCAACUCGAGGGCAUGAAGUCGGAAUCGCUAGUAAUCGCAGGUCAGCAUACUGCGGUGAAUACGUUCCCGGGUCUU